UCCUCCACAAUACAAUCUAUCAGUAGCACAAACUCCAAACCAUUUCUUUAGUUAUUUUUUAAACCAUACUCCUACUGAAGCCAUAGACACGGCCGCCAGUAAAAUUUCUACCUGAUCGCAGUAACUUCGGCAGCUACCCAUGUGACACGGAGCCGUCUUGAUUACACCAACCGUGCCCUUACCAGCUCCAGCGAGCCUGCAUGACAUGACACGACAACCUGCGUGACACGGAGCUAAUAUAACAAAGAAUCUGACCUGUAUCACCGUGGGUGACGCGCAGACCCGCAUCCGACACUGAGGCAGCCGAUGGGGCUGUGCCAGAAGCCAGGAUCACAUCACCCAGAGUAAACUCGGCAGACAGGCAGGUGUUCAAGUUGCAGCCUUCCUUGUCAUAAAGCAUGGAAAACCUUGUGUUUUUGGCCACUCCAGUUAUUGAAGAUAAAGGCAGGAAUGGAGAAGUUUUUCCUUAAUACUGUAUAUGCCUUGCAUUCAUGAUAUAUACCCCUGGCUUUGCAUGCAAUCAUUUUAAUGAAAACUGAGAAGGAAGAACACAAUGGAUGGACCAUCAAUGAUAAUAAGCUUUUCUAAUGGGCAUACAUGAAGAGUUGCAGUGUUUCUGGGUAUUAUAUAUCUUCAUGCACUGCAGAUCCAUAAUAGCAAGAGACAGCUUCAGUACCCAAUCAGCAACCUUUCAAAGAACAGGGGAGACGAAAAAAUCUUCUUGACACAGUUUUUUGUUCCAAAAUUGCAUUAGCACUCCAAGGCCAUGUUCAUGUGGUGGAAUUUUUUCAGAUUGUUUGUAUAAAAAACUUUUGUUGGACAUUCUGCCAACAUCAGGUGCUGAUAGAAUAUGCCAGUGCUAGGACUGCACAGAGAUGAGUCGUCUUCAUAGACGGCAGUUCAUUAUGAAGCGGACUCCGCAGAAAUAGGGGACACAUCAAUUAUUUUUGUAGGAGCCAGAUUUGGAAUUUGUGUGACAGAUAUUCCUCCUGUGGAAAUUACCAGUGACAACAAUAACAUUCUGCAGCAAUGGAAUAUCCGGGCAGAUUUUGUAUGCCAGAUUCCACUCGGAAAUUCUGUGGUGUGAACAUGGCAUAACAGUACAUAGGUUAUACUAAAUACAAUGGAGAAUCUUGU